UCGUAGUUGAAUUUGUGUCUUGCGCUGUCGGUUCAUCGCUGUUUGCGGUGUUUAACUGGCACGUUGUGAGACGUCUUGCCGGAAGGGCAUGGUAUAUGUUUUAUUUGUGUCUUCAUAAUAUAUCACUAUAAUGAUUGAUUUUAAAUAUAGUUAAUAGCUGUAUUUUGAUUGAUUGUUAUUAGUUUGUUAUAUUAUGUUUGGCCUGAUAAUAACGUGUACGUAGUCCGACUUUUUAAAAUCCUGUCUAGGUGCUCUUAACUGAGUGUCGUGGCGGGCCGGCACGUUUACUUUGAACAAAUUAGAGUGCUUAAAGCAGGCUUAUGUUGCCUGAAUAUAGUGUGCAUGGAAUAAUGAAACAGGACCUCGGUUCUAUUUUGUUGGUUUUCUGAUCAAACGAGGUAAUGAUUAAUAGGGACAGAUGGGGGCAUUCGUAUUGCGACGUUAGAGGUGAAAUUCUUGGAUCG
rnacentral:rRNA from 1 species